rnacentral:rRNA from 1 species
GGGAACUGCGUUNUGAACUGGGUGACUAGAGUGUGUCAGAGGGAGGUAGAAUUCCACGUGUAGCAGUGAAAUGCGUAGAGAUGUGGAGGAAUACCGAUGGCGAAGGCAGCCUCCUGGGAUAACACUGACGUUCAUGCCCGAAAGCGUGGGUAGCAAACAGGAUUAGAUACCCUGGCAGUCCACGCCCUAAACGAUGUCGAUUAGCUGUUGGGCAGCAUGACUGCUUAGUAGCGAAGCUAACGCGUGAAAUCGACCGCCUGGGGAGUACGGUCGCAAGAUUAAAACUCAAAGGAAUUGACGGGGACCCGCACAAGCGGUGGACGAUGUGGAUUAAUUCGAUGCAACGCGAAGAACCUUACCUGGUCUUGACAUGUACGGAACCCUCCAGAGACGGAGGAGUGCCUUCGGGAGCCGUAACACAGGUGCUGCAUGGCUGUCGUCAGCUCGUGUCGUGAGAUGUUGGGUUAAGUCCCGCAACGAGCGCAACCCUUGUCAUUAGUUGCCAUCAUUAAGUUGGGCACUCUAAUGAGACUGCCGGUGACAAGCCGGAGGAAGGUGGGGAUGACGUCAAGUCCUCAUGGCCCUUAUGACCAGGGCUUCACACGUCAUACAAUGGUCGGUACAGAGGGUAGCCAAGCCGCGAGGCGGAGCCAAUCUCACAAAACCGAUCGUAGUCCGG